rnacentral:rRNA from 1 species
GACGAACGCUGGCGGCGUGCUUAACACAUGCAAGUCGAACGGAAAGGCCCUGCUUUUGUGGGGUGCUCGAGUGGCGAACGGGUGAGUAACACGUGAGUAACCUGCCCUUGACUUUGGGAUAACUUCAGGAAACUGGGGCUAAUACCGGAUAGGAGCUCCUGCUGCAUGGUGGGGUUGGAAAGUUUCGGCGGUUGGGGAUGGACUCGCGGCUUAUCAGCUUGUUGGUGGGGUAGUGGCUUACCAAGGCUUUGACGGGUAGCCGGCCUGAGAGGGUGACCGGCCACAUUGGGACUGAGAUACGGCCCAGACUCCUACGGGAGGCAGCAGUGGGGAAUAUUGCAUAAUGGGCGGAAGCCUGAUGCAGCAACGCCGCGUGCGGGAUGACGGCCUUCGGGUUGUAAACCGCUUUCGCCUGUGACGAAGCGUGAGUGACGGUAAUGGGUAAAGAAGCACCGGCUAACUACGUG